UUGAAGGUUGAUGUUCGUGAUUAUGACCUUCCUAAUUAUCCAGGUCUUCCAAACUCCACUAGAUACCCAAAUAUCAGUAGUUCUACAGAUCUGAAGAUUCCAAACAGUGCCAUGAGUUUUGUAAUUGGUACAUGAGGGAGCAAUAUAACUGAGGUAUGGAAUAAGUCUAAGCGAGAGCGCGUUAGAGCUUACCGUUAUGAGGUUGCUUAGACUUAGCUUAUGAUGUUUAGACUUUGUGUUUUGGGCCAGUGUGCCGAUGUUGAGACUAUAUACUCUUGAUUAGAUUCUUCUGGUUGUUGUGAUAAUGUUUUAAGGAUUUAUACUUUAUGCAAUUCAGUUUUUGGAUAGCCUGUGCAUCUACGCCGUGUUUUUCUUACCUAGAUGUGGCAUGAUACCCCUUAGGUUAUAAAUCGCUUCCGCUAUGUUGUGUUUGCUAGUUGAGAUAGGCAACUUUUGUGUUAAAGUUUAGCUAUCUCGACUUGUGAAAAGUUGGGGUGUCACAUGUGAAGACUCCAUUAUUUGAUGACCACACGAAGGCUUUACAAAAAUCUCUCAGAAAGUUGAAGUGGUUACCGUUAAGCAGACCUCAAGAGUAUAAAGAAGAUAUUCUUGCGCCACUAUUUGUGAGAGUGAAUGAAAUGCAAUAAACCAUUUUUCAGAAGAUUGGUGCCACUUUGGAAGAUCAAGGAGGCCUAGCCAUUGAUCAUCAUGUUCAUACCAGGAGCAAUCUGAACAAACUAACUGAUCAUCAACGGGCACUUUAUGCAAAGAUUGACAAAGCCGAAUCUCACUUGAAGAAUAGCUUGACAGACAUUCUUAAGAAUCUCAUAAAGAGUAUGGAUUUGGUGUGUGGAGUCGGUUGUGUUGGGGAGAUUGAGGAGAAGAGAGAAGGAAAGACCACCUCUUGUGGUCAAACAUUUCAAGCCAUGGAGGCCACCUCUUGUGGUUUCCAAAACAAAAGGGGAAGAGAAGACCACCUCUUGUGGUCUUGUAAGCAAGGAAAAGGGGGAGAUCACCUCUUGUGAUCUCAAAGCCAAAAAGAAGGAAAAGGUGCAUCCAAAGCACUAAUCAAACACCCUGGAAAAGAAUGAAACUUGGGGAAAAAAAGGUACAUUUAAUGCUUUCUUGCAAAAAUUUCAUUGUGAUACCCAAUUGCAUAAAAUGUUGGAUAUUGAUGAUGUUGAGGAAUAUGCUUAUGUAAUCAAAGAGAUCCCGUCCCUAAUCUCUACGGGGUGUCCAAUCAAGAAGGGUGACCCCGAGGCAUUUGUUGUUCCAUGUGCCAUCAAGGACAUGGAAUUUAACAAUGUCUUAGCCGAUCUCGGAGCUUCUAUUAAUUUGAUGUCAUCUUGUGUUUUUGAAAAGUUGAAAUUGCCAUACUUGAGUCCAACUCGACUCACCCUCCGUUUUGCCGAUGGGACCAUCCGGUAUCCCAAAGGUAUUGCGGAGGAUGUGUUGGUGAAGGUUUGAGAAUUAAUAAUGCCCGUUUAUUUUGUUGUGUGCGAUAUGGUAAAAGAGGAAUCAUGUGGGAAGGUAAAAAUCACUGAUGUUGGCGCAGGCAAGAUAACUCUUCGGUUUGACGAAAAUAGAGCCAAAGUUGAAAUGGCUACUUUUGUGAAAUGGUUAAGGUGAAAACCAAUACCAAACCAAAAUGUGAAAUGGAUAGGUUGAUUUGGAAAAAUACUUGGACCCCAAAAUGUUUUCGCCCAAAGGUUGAUGUGAAUGGUUGAAAGGAAGGAAGUUGAGUCUAGCUAAGGACGUUAAACGUGACACUUCUUGGGAGGCACCCCAAGUCUAUCUCGUGAAUAUUUGUGUUGUUUAUUUUGUGUUUUUUUUGUUUGUUUUGUUUUGUGAGACCAUUGGAACUAACUUGCAGGUGUUGUGGUGGAAAA